rnacentral:rRNA from 1 species
UACAGAGGGUGCAAGCGUUAAUCGGAUUUACUGGGCGUAAAGGGCGCGUAGGCGGUUUUGUGAGUGUGAUGCGAAAGCCCCGGGCUUAACCUGGGAAGCGCAUCGCAAACGAUAGAACUAGAGUAGAUGAGAGGGUGAUGGAAUUUCCGGUGUAGCGGUGAAAUGCGUAGAGAUCGGAAGGAACGUCAAUGGCGAAGGCAGUCACCUGGCAUCAUACUGACGCUGAGGCGCGAGAGCGUGGGGAGCGAACAGG